UCGUCGCCUAUCAGUCGGGUGCGUAAGCGCUAGUGCGGUAUACAAAGAUACAAAGAUUGCAUGGAGUCGGAGUAGGAAAUGAACGUUUGCUGGAGUUAGAAAGCGAGGGUGAUGCUAAUGUUGACGUUAUAGCAGAAAUUGAUUUUAGGUCAAUAGUUAAUGAUAUGAGAAAGAAUCCUGGUAUCGCCAAAAAAGACCAGGAAGUACCAGAAAAAGUCGCUAAAGAACCUACAACCGUAGAGGGAAUGGUGCUUCGUCAGAGGAAAGCCAAAAUUAAACUGCGGACAACAAGCAAGCAAAUAGGAAAGAACUUCGACAGGGAGAGGCGAUAUGUAAAAAAAUGCUAAAAAAUAGGAAAUAAAAAAAUCUAAAGAGGCCAAACUCGCAAAUUAUUCAUCACUUAUUAAAAGUCAGUGCCCUGCUAAUUGCGAGUUGAGUAAAGAAGAAUUGCAAGUGAUGAAGAAGUGUGGCAUAUGUCGAAAAUCUUUUAUAUACGUAUGUGUAAAGUGUGAUAAAAAGUACGAUGCAAGUAUGACCGUAAAGCUUCACCAGGACACAAAAUGCCAUCCAAGAAAAGUUUACUCUUGCCAGUUACGCAAGUAUGCGACAAGUGAAAAGUACUAUUUCAUCAUUAACUCUAUUUAAAAUAAAAAUAAGCUUUUA